rnacentral:rRNA from 1 species
AUUGAACGCUGGCGGAAUGCUUUACACAUGCAAGUCGAACGGCAGCACGGACUUCGGUCUGGUGGCGAGUGGCGAACGGGUGAGUAAUAUAUCGGAACGUAUCCAAUAAUGGGGGAUAACUAGUCGAAAGAUUGGCUAAUACCGCAUACGCCCUACGGGGGAAAGCAGGGGAUCUUCGGACCUUGCGUUAAUGGAGCGGCCGAUAGCUGAUUAGCUAGUUGGGUGGGUAAAGGCCCACCAAGGCGACGAUCAGUAGCUGGUCUGAGAGGACGACCAGCCAACCUGGAACUGAGACACGGUCCAGACUCCUACGGGAGGCAGCAGUGGGGAAUUUUGGACAAUGGGCGCAAGCCUGAUCCAGCCAUUCCGCGUGAGUGAAGAAGGCCUUCGGGUUGUAAAGCUCUUUCGCAAGGGAAGAAAACUUAGCCACUAACAUUGGCUGAGGUUGACGGUACCUUGAUAAGAAGCACCGGCUAACUACGUGCCAGCCGCCGCAGUAACAC